rnacentral:rRNA from 1 species
GGGUCAGUAGGUUGGUCGUGCCACCGGUACGUACUGGUCCCACUGAUUCCUCCUUCCUGAAGAACCGUAAUGCCAUUAAUUUGGUGUUGCGGGGAAACAGGACUGUUACUUUGAAAAAAUUAGAGUGUUUAGAGCAAGCUAACGCUUGAAUACAUUAGCAUGGAAUAAUGAAAUAGGACGAUCGAUCCUAUUUUGUUGGUUUCUAGGAUUGACGUA